rnacentral:lncRNA from 1 species
UUUGAACUUAAUGAUUAGUAAUGUAAAGCAAAGAAUGUAAUAUUUAUUUUGGGCAAAUGUGAUGUAAAAGAAAUGAUGCAAGCAAUGUAAAGAAUCGUGAAUAUGAAGGUUAAAUGCAAUGUAUGUGAUCAAAAGAGAAUCAUAGCACUUGUGUAGAUGUUUAGUUUUCUUUCUUUCACUCAUGGCUAUUGCUUACCCUCGUGUAAGCCGUUUGUGUAUGUUUCCGCUAGUGCACUUCUUGUUUGAAAAUGUACAGGUGAUGAGCCUUGGGCGGACAGGGAAAACUCUGUCCG